GUGCCAGCAGCCGCGGUAAUACGUAGGGGGCAAGCGUUGUCCGGAAUUAUUGGGCGUAAAGCGCGCGCAGGCGGCCGUUUAAGUCUGGUGUUUAAGCCCGGGGCUCAACCCCGGUACGCACGGGAAACUGGGCGGCUGGAGUGCAGGAGAGGGGAGUGGAAUUCCACGUGUAGCGGUGAAAUGCGUAGAGAUGUGGAGGAACACCAGUGGCGAAGGCGACUCUCUGGCCUGUAACUGACGCUGAGGCGCGAAAGCGUGGGGAGCAAACAGGAUUAGAUACCCUGGUAGUCC
rnacentral:rRNA from 1 species